rnacentral:rRNA from 1 species
UGGGGAAUAUUGCACAAUGGGGGAAACCCUGAUGCAGCGACGCCGCGUGAGUGAAGAAGUAUUUCGGUAUGUAAAGCUCUAUCAGCAGGGACGAAAAUGACGGUACCUGACUAAGAAGCCCCGGCUAACUACGUGCCAGCAGCCGCGGUAAUACGUAGGGGGCAAGCGUUAUCCGGAUUUACUGGGUGUAAAGGGAGCGUAGACGGCAAGACAAGUCUGGAGUGAAAGCCCGGGGCUCAACCGCGGGACUGCUCUGGGAACUGCCUUGCUGGAGUGCUGGAGAGGCAAGCGGAAUUCCUAGUGUAGCGGUGAAAUGCGUAGAUAUUAGGAGGAACACCAGUGGCGAAGGCGGCUUGCUGGACAGUAACUGACGUUGAGGCUCGAAAGCGUGGGGAGCAAACAG